GACUCCAUAGCUCAGUGGUUAGAGCGCUGGUUUUCGGAACCAGUGGUCGCGAGUUCGGUCCUCGCUGGAGCCU
rfam:Astyanax mexicanus Tnplaced_Scaffold_178, whole genome shotgun sequence.